UGCGUAGGUGGUGAGGUAAGUCGGAUGUGAAAUCUCCGGGCUCAACCCGGAAAUGGCAUUGGAAACUACCUUGCUGGAGGAUUUGAGGGGGGAUUGGAAUACUUGGUGUAGCAGUGAGAUGCGUAGAUAUCAAGUGGAACACCAGUGGCGAAGGCGAAUCCCUGGAAAAUACCUGACACUGAGGCACGAAAGCUAGGGGAGCAAACA
rnacentral:rRNA from 1 species